rnacentral:miRNA from 14 species
AGAAGUCGCCCGUGUUUUUUU